UACAGAGGUGCCGAGCGUUAGGCGGAAUCACUGGGCUUAAAGCGUGUGUAGGCGGAUCGUUAAGUACCUUGUGAAAUCCCACGGCUUAACCGUGGAACUGCUUGGUAUACUGGCGGUCUUGAGCCAGCUAGGGGCUACCGGAACAAAUGGUGGAGCGGUGAAAUGCGUAGAUAUCAUUUGGAACGCCAAUGGUGAAAACAGGUAGCUGGGGCUGUGCUGACGCUGAGACACGAAAGCCAGGGGAGCAAACGGG
rnacentral:rRNA from 1 species